rnacentral:rRNA from 1 species
CCCCUAGUAACUGCGAGUGAAGCGGGAAAAGCUCAAAUUUGAAAUCUGGCGGUUCCGCCGYCCGAGUUGUAUUCUGGAGAAGCGUCUUCCGUGCCGGACCGUGUACAAGUCCCUUGGAACAGGGCGUCGUAGAGGGUGAGAAUCCCGUCUUUGACACGGACCCCCGGUGCUAUGUGAUGCGCUCUCGAMGAGUCGAGUUGUUUGGGAAUGCAGCUCAAAAUGGGUGGUAAAUUCCAUCUAAAGCUAAAUAUUGGCGAGAGACCGAUAGCGAACAAGUACCGUGAGGGAAAGAUGAAAAGCACUUUGGAAAGAGAGUAAAACAGUACGUGAAAUUGUUGAAAGGGAAACGCUUGAAGUCAGUCGCGUCUGCCGGAACUCAGCCUUGCUUCCGCUUGGUGCACUUUCCGGUCCGACGGGCCAGCAUCGGUUUCGGGCGGCGGACACUGGCGAGGGGAAGGUGGCAGCUCAGGCUGUGUUAUAGCCCCCCGUCGCAAACGUCGCCGGGGACCGAGGAAUCCGGUGAAAGCCUGGGAUGCUGGCGUAAUGGCUUUAAACGACCCGUCUUGAAACACGGACCAAGGAGUGCUACGUGCUCGCGAGUGUUUGGGUGGAAAACCCAGACGCGAAAUGAAAGUGAAAGUCGAUACCCCUCACGGGGGCACCGACGCCCGAGCCUGAUGUUUUCGGACGGCCUUGCGGUAGAGCGAGUGCGUUGCGACCCGAAAGAUGGUGAACUAUUCCUGAGGAGGGCGAAGCCAGAGGAAACUCUGGUGGAGGCUCGUAGCGGUUCUGACGUGCAAAUCGAUCGCAGGACUUGGGUAUAGGGGCGAAAGACUAAUCGAACCAUCUAGUAGCUGGUUCCUGCCGAGUUUCCCCUCAGGA